rnacentral:rRNA from 1 species
UUUGUUACUUCAAACCAAUCGGACUUCGGUCUGACAUCAAGUGAUAUUGAACAAUUUAGCUGAUCGCACGGUCUAAGAACCGGCGACAUAUCCUUCAAAUGUCUGCCUUAUCAACUUUCGAUGGUAGAUUAUGCGCCUACCAUGGUUGUAACGGGUAACGGAGAAUCAGGGUUUGAUUCCGGAGAGGGAGCCUGAGAAACGGCUACCACAUCCAAGGAAGGCAGCAGGCACGCAAAUUACCCACUCCCGGCACGGGGAGGUAGCGACGAAAAAUAACAAGCUGGUCUCAAUGAGUUCCAGCAUUGUAAUGGGAACAAUUUAAAUCUUUUAUCGAGGAUCUAUUGGAGGGCAAGUCUGGUGCCAGCAGCCGCGGUAAUUCCAGCUCCAAUAGCGUAUAUUAAAGUUGUUGCGGUUAAAAAGCUCGUAGUUGGAUCUAGGAUUAGGGCUACGGUCGUUCAGCUUGGACGUACUGUAUGCCCGACUCCUUUUCUCUAGUAUUCGAUUGUUGCUCUUAAAUGAGUGACUUUAGUUGCUGGAACUUUUACCUUGAAAAAAUUGAAGUGCUCAAAGCAGGUU